AAAACUCUCCACUUCUCUCUCAAAGGCCCCAAGUCCGGUCGUCGGCCCGGCGAGUCACCGUCGCUCCGGCCACCGGCCACCGGUCACCGACGAUGGCGCCACCAUCCACGGUGGCUGAAAAAUCACCCGAACUCUCAUUUUUUGUAUUUUUUCGCUAGAUCCCCUUUUUGUAGUUGAAAUCACCCAAAAUUAAAGCCAAAGUUCAAAAAAAGGAAAACACUUUCGGUUUUUUUCUCCCCAACGCAACCCUCGACGAAUUCUUUUAGGAACUUGGAGGUCCUCCACAUCGGAACCCACCCACGACGGCAAAGAACUGAUUGCUAGGUGAAUUUUUAUUAUAUAUAUAUAUAUAAAUGAUAUAAUAGAUUCAAAGAAAAAAGAAAAAAAUAAAAAAUAUAACCUUUGAAGUGUUUUUUGAUUUUGUAUUUGAAUUGCUUUGUUUUGUGUUUUUUUGUUUCAAUUUAUAUUUCAAAAAAACAAUCCCCCUUUAUAGUUGGUUUUUGUAGGCUUUUUAUAGCUAAAUUAUAGUAUUAUUUUUCUAUUUUUUCUUUAAUGUUUGAUACUGUUUCUUUUGUGUGUGGCUUCUUCUUUGCAGGUGGUAGUUGAGUCAACAGCAGGACGGGGACAGUUGGCGGUGGCAGACCUCGAGCGAUGAAAGAGGAACGUCAGCUAGGGUUUUUGAUUUUACUGAAAAGAGUUUAGGUUGUGGGCCAUUUGGACUAUUAGGGUUUUAAUUUUUUUGGGCUUUGUAAUUUAAGUAAUAAGUUUUGUUUAUUUUUAUUUUCAUAUGUUU
rnacentral:lncRNA from 1 species